rnacentral:rRNA from 1 species
CUUAAAGGAAUUGACGGAAGGGCACCACCAGAUGUAAACCGUAGUUAACUCUGCAUCUGAAAGCCGUCUCGGGAGUAGCAUCCUGAAGGUUGAAUCUGGCCCUGUUCGCAAUGGCUAGUCCAAGCUUUUUCAGCUGGGCAACACCCUCAAAUUGCGGGAAACUCCUAAAGCUGCUGAACACCAAACCUGACCGGUAACGGUUGGGUGGCCGCCCUGAAAGGGUGCGGGUAUGGUAACAGAGUCAGCAGAUUGCUCGCCAGCGGGCCAGCAAAUGGACGAUCCGCAGCCAAGCGACCGGUUCAAACCCAACCGGUUGAAGGUUCAGAGACUAGAUGGGGGUGGGUUUUCAAAAACUUGAAGGCUUAAGGUAUAGUCCAGCCGUUCCAGCGAAAGCAAACGGGUCAGGCAAUGGGAGCCUGCGGCUUAAUUUGACUCAACACGGGGAAACUCACCAGGUCCAGACACAUUAAGGAUUGACAGAUUGAGAGCUCUUUCUUGAUUAUGUGGGUGGUGGUGCAUGGCCGUUCUUAGUUGGUGGAGUGAUUUGUCUGCUUAAUUGCGAUAACGAACGAGACCUUAACCUGCUAAAUAGCCAGGCUAGCUUUUGCUGGUCGCCGGCUUCUUAGAGGGACUAUCGGCUCAAGCCGAUGGAAGUUUGAGGCAAUAACAGGUCUGUGAUGCCCUUAGAUGUUCUGGGCCGCACGCGCGCUACACUGACAGAGCCAACGAGUAUAAACCUUAACCGAGAGGUUUGGGUAAUCUUGUUAAACUCUGUCGUGCUGGGGAUAGAGCAUUGCAAUUAUUGCUCUUCAACGAGGAAUAUCUAGUAAGCGCAAGUCAUCAGCUUGCGUUGAUUACGUCCCUGCCCUUUGUACACACCGCCCGUCGCUACUACCGAUUGAAUGGCUCAGUGAGGCCUUCGGACUGACUCAGGGAGGUCGGCAACGACCACCCAGAGCCGGAAAGUUGGUCAAACUUGGUCAUUUAGAGGAAGUAAAAGUCGUAACAAGGUUUGAAGUAAGAAAUCCUUCCUUUGGGUGACGCUUAUGAGAAGCCUUUGUGGCCCCGCAAGGGGUAUCCGCCGCGACUAUAAAGAAUGGGAAGCGGGUAUUAAAUCGCAAGUCGGCAGCCAGCUGUGCUGCUGGCCACACUUUCGAAUUGCGGGAACACCCUAAAGCACGCCUCUACCAACCGGCUUGAAGAAAUUCACCUGGGGCCAAUGAUAACGACAUUGGGUAAGGUAAGAAUGAGGUUUGAUGAGAACCGCUAUGGUUUGAAAUGGGCAAUCCGCAGCCAACCCCUAAGGCGAGUCCUGCUAUGGGAGAGGUUCACAGACUAAGUGGAAGUGGGCUGGAUUUCCAGCUUAAGAUAUAGUCGGGCCUGGCGCGAAAGCGCCCGGGAAAGGUCACAGAAAUCGUAACAAAACCGUUCCGUAGGUGAACCUGCGGAAGGAUCAUUA